rnacentral:rRNA from 1 species
AGUAACACGUGGAUAACCUACCUAUAAGACUGGGAUAACUUCGGGAAACCGGAGCUAAUACCGGAUAAUAUAUUGAACCGCAUGGUUCAAUAGUGAAAGACGGUUUUGCUGUCACUUAUAGAUGGAUCCGCGCCGCAUUAGCUAGUUGGUAAGGUAACGGCUUACCAAGGCAACGAUGCGUAGCCGACCUGAGAGGGUGAUCGGCCACACUGGAACUGAGACACGGUCCAGACUCCUACGGGAGGCAGCAGUAGGGAAUCUUCCGCAAUGGGCGAAAGCCUGACGGAGCAACGCCGCGUGAGUGAUGAAGGUCUUCGGAUCGUAAAACUCUGUUAUUAGGGAAGAACAAAUGUGUAAGUAACUAUGCACGUCUUGACGGUACCUAAUCAGAAAGCCACGGCUAACUACGUGCCAGCAGCCGCGGUAAUACGUAGGUGGCAAGCGUUAUCCGGAAUUAUUGGGCGUAAAGCGCGCGUAGGCGGUUUUUUAAGUCUGAUGUGAAAGCCCACGGCUCAACCGUGGAGGGUCAUUGGAAACUGGAAAACUUGAGUGCAGAAGAGGAAAGUGGAAUUCCAUGUGUAGCGGUGAAAUGCGCAGAGAUAUGGAGGAACACCAGUGGCGAAGGCGACUUUCUGGUCUGUAACUGACGCUGAUGUGCGAAAGCGUGGGGAUCAAACAGGAUUAGAUACCCUGGUAGUCCACGCCGUAAACGAUGAGUGCUAAGUGUUA